GGAAGGAUCUCUUCCUGGAGAUCAUUCCUUGUGGAGAAUAUUGUGAGCUUACAACAUUGGCUCACAAACACCAGAUGUUCUUUCUCUCGGGAAGCACCUUUCAGAGAAUCCACCAGUGCAAUAUAAAUAGAGCACAAGCCAAAAGCAAGAGAUGUCAUAAUAGAUUCAAUGUAUCCCAGUACAAGAUGAAGUGCAAAGCAGUAACCAAGCAUCAAAAGAAACAUUUGAACUUUUUCCAGCAUCUUGCUAAAUAAGCAAAAGAAUUUGUUCAUAGACACAGAGGACGUUAUUCCCAAAACAGAGUAAUAAACUAGUUAAGUUAGUACUGAUUUGUCUGAAACCAUUUUUCAGGGGAUGUACCUCGGAGUUCAGCAUGUACACACAUUAUGUUAAUCAUGUUUCAUUACCUCCCAUGAAUGUGACAGAAUGGAAGCUACUUUAUGAACCUUCUACAACUAUUCUGUCUGAUGUAUGUUUACAAGUUAGUGCUUAGGAAUUUAAAGACACUUACAGAAAGUACUUGUCAGUUAUAACGUAAGGAGCAGAAUAAAGCGUGGAUACUGCUUUGUCUCAGCUGCUGUUUUACAUCAAUUGCAUGUGAACUGCAAGGAAUGGAAGCAGGCCUGAGAAAGGAGCUAGGAAAGUGCUUUUAACAUGGACAAGCUAUAUAGGAAAGAGCAAAAUAAGUCAUCAUGGAAUAAUAAAAUGGCCUGGGUUGAAAAGGACCACAGUGAUCAUCCAGUUUCAACCCUUUGCUAUGUGCAGGAUCGCCAAACACCAGACCAGGCUGCCAGAGCCACAUCCAGCCUGACCUUGAAUGCCUCCAGGGAUGGGGCAUCCACAGCCAAGUGAAGAUAAGAAAGAAGCAUGCAGGAGAGCCUGUGGCCCUCGAGCACUCCCGGAGCUGAAGGAGACUGAGGAUUGUGACUCUUGUCUCACAUUCUCCAUUAUAGAUCCACUAAGAUAACCCGUUAGAAGAGACCCUCUUCCUUUUGCAACAGAGGCUAUAACAGAAUGGCACCCUAUUACUGGUACCAUCAUGUGUUACGGUAGCCCAAGUGGCAGAAGGUGGCACCUCCUAGGGGCUCCAUUCCCAGUACUGAAUGACAUAACAGUGAACGUGGAAAGAUUUAGUGGAAUCUGGGAGAUAAAAUUUGAUACUCUGCCUUUCAGCACACAGCUAAUACUAUUCAGCUAAUAGUGGGUUCUACUGCGAGAGUGACCUGCCUUUUCAGCCUAACUGGCAGUAAAACCCAGAGAAUUAAGAUGUUUCUGAUGACCAAGAGAGAAAAACUAGCUGAUGGCUCACAGAGUUGGAAGAGCUAACACUGUGUACUCUGUUGAGUUGCAUGGCCUUAAACAAGAAUGAACUUUCAAUUCAUUGGGAAGAAAUGAAUUUAAAACAAUUCUAAUAGAAGAAACUGGUACAUGUUAGUCCAGUACUUCCUGAAAUCUUUUCAGAGUAUUCCAAGCAGUGAGACAAAGCUAAAAUAAAGUAAAAGGUGCAGUCAGAAGAUUUCUGUGGGUAAACCUAGAUCUCGGUUCAAGUUUUAAAGUGGAAAUAACUCAUGGAGAUACUGAGUAUUUAGACUGGUGUAAGGAGAAAACAGUCUUCACUGGAGACAAAUAGGAACGAAAAUGUUUACAGCCACAGCAUUUUUCUUUUCAUUGCUGCAAGAUGGCUUAAUAUUUGUUCAAACAGCAGGGAAAAGACAAUUCCAUAGCUUUAGAGAAGAACAAGUGAGCAAAUUCAAAUAAUACCAUAGCAACAACUGUAUGAUCACCUCAGUGAAAGAAAAUUAGAUCCCUCUGGAUCAUGUGUGUAGGCACUGAAGGAACUGAUAUCGAAAUGCUGGAACUUUAUAAAAUGUUUUUAAUGUAUUUCAUUCACUUUUUACUAUUAAUAUUAUGUAAUUAGAGAUGGGAUAAAUGGAUUUUCCUGCUCUUCUGCAGUGUGCUUUCCUUUCAUGCCACCCUUCACGGUCCCUGACGCUGACUGACUUUGGUGCUGAAGUGUGGUUAGUUACAGCCUGCUGCAAUUCUAACUGUGCAACAACCUCAUGUAAUUUUGUAGUGAAAAUCAACAUUAGAUGUGAUGGGAAAUAAAAUAAACUAAAAAAAAGCAAU